rnacentral:snoRNA from 1 species
AAUCCAUGGUAAGGACACCAUCUUAUCAAAUCUUUAUACCUCUCACAAGCCUCAUAUAUAGAUUCAUAAUCAAAUUGCAUGAAAGAAGUGAUAUCAUUCUGCAUCU